rnacentral:rRNA from 1 species
UAGUCAUACGCUCGUCUCAAAGAUUAAGCCAUGCAUGUCUAAGUGUAAAUUUUGUACCUUGAAACUGCGAAUGGCUCAUUAUAUAAGUUAUAGUUUAUUUGAUAGUCCCUUACUACUUGGAUAACCGUAGUAAUUCUAGAGCUAAUACAUGCGUCAAUACCCAACUGGGUAGUAUUUAUUAGAUGGAAACCAACUCCUUCGGGAUGCUGUGGUGAUUCAUAAUAAGCUUGCGGAUUGCAGGAUUUUCCAGCAAUGGAUCAUUCAAGUUUCUUCCCUAUCAGCUUUGAUGGUAAGGUAUUUGCUUACCAUGGCUUUAACGGGUAACGGAAAAUUAGGGUUUGAUUCCGGAGAGGGAGCCUGAGAGAUGGCUACCACAUCCGAAGGAAGGCGAGCGAGGCGCGUAAAUUACCCAAUCUAGAAACUAGGAGGUAGUGACGAUAAAUAACGAUGCUGGGCCUGUGUAGGUCUGGCGAUUGGAAUGAGAACGAUUUAAACCCCUUAUCGAGGAAUCGAAUUGGAGGGCGAAGUCUGG